rnacentral:lncRNA from 1 species
CUUUAAUCAAACACCCAAAUACAACAAGCAAACAAAAACGAAGUCGAACUCCUCACCUGAUCCCGUAGUUUCCUGCGCCACCACCGCGGCUCUACAUUAACACGUAAAAUACAAUACCAUAAAGAGAAGGUGCACGCCGAACACUUUAAGAGAAACGCGCGAGAGAGUCGGCUAAAGUGAUCCGACAGCUGCUGCGGCUCUGCGUUUCGUGACGUCACGGGCUGUUCAACGACAAAGCAGGUACUGCAGAAUUGGCCAAACACACUUCUUCGAACCCCCGCCGGUCUGAUAUUCUUGAGGAUUCAUUGACAGCCCCAAAAGAGUUUGAAUCCGUUUCUUAAGUGCAAGUUAAAGUUUUAUUUCUGAGAUGGUCGCAGUGCUGCAGGUGGCACCGAGGUAGAUUUGGAGAGCCUCAACUUUCUCAGGUCGCCUGAAUAACGUGUGAUUUGAGAUAGUUGCCGAUUUGACCCGGUGGGAAUUGUGCGGAUGAGAAGAUGGAUUCUUGCCUAAUAUUGCGAGCGACACUUCUCGGAAUGAUGUUGCUGGGACUUCUUACUCCUGCACAAACCAAAGCGGGGUGUGUUUGCAGUGUGAAGUCAGGGUGCAACUGUCAAGGAAUCAAAGGACAAAAGGGUGAGAUGGGGUUACCUGGUUUGCCUGGUAUGGAAGGAAUUCAGGGGCAUCGAGGAAAAGAAGGCUUUCAUGGAUUUCCCGGUGACAAUGUAUGUUAAACAUGGCUGCUUUACAAGCUCACAAUUUGAAAAUAUAUCAGAAUA